rnacentral:lncRNA from 1 species
ACUUCUGAAUUUAAAAAGCAAAUUAUUUGAGAAAAAAGGCUAGCAAUGAUAAGCCUUUGGUUUUAGAAGCUGAACUGAACUUGAAUUCAGAUGGGCAGAAGUGAAAGAGGUGAACUGGGUAGCUCUGCUUGAACCAGUAGAAGCAAGAAAGCAUUUUUAGACAAAAUAUGGAAAGCAUUCUCACCAUGGACUUUGAACACUGCUAUUCAAGGCCUCUGGUCAAUUUUUAACAACGAUGUUAAACCCUGAGAUGUGCUGUUAUUUGUAUAUCUUCUUUGCUCUCUAGUGAACAAUGUCUAGCCAACUGAGCCACAGGGUUGUCAGGUAAGAAACAUGAUUUUAACAUGGUUUCGGGGUAGUUCAUUGUGAUUGUAUCAAAUGUGUUGCAGUAUUGUGAACUAGGCUGGCACUUUUUCUACAUGUGUCAUGGCUUGCUAAAGGUGGCACAAGUC